AACGCGAAGAACCUUACCUGGGCUCGAAAUGUAGUGGAAUAGGGUGGAAACAUCCUAGUCUCGCAAGAGACUGCUAUAUAGGUGCUGCAUGGCUGUCGUCAGCUCGUGUCGUGAGAUGUUGGGUUAAGUCCCGCAACGAGCGCAACCCUUAUCCCUAGUUGCCAUCGGGUCAAGCCGGGCACUCUAGUGAAACCGCCCGGGAUAACCGGGAGGAAGGUGGGGAUGACGUCAAGUCCUCAUGGCCUUUAUGUCCAGGGCUACACACGUGCUACAAUGGUCGGUACAAACCGUCGCAAACCCGCGAGGGGGAGCUAAUCGGAAAAAGCCGGCCUCAGUUCGGAUUGGAGUCUGCAACCCGACUCCAUGAAGCUGGAAUCGCUAGUAAUCGCGGAUCAGAACGCCGCGGUGAAUACGUUCCCGGGCCUUGUACACACCGAUACUC
rnacentral:rRNA from 1 species